CAGCGGCUCCUCGGCUACCCCGCCCACUGUUCGCAAAGCAUCCUGGGGGACGUAGUCCUGCCUUUGUUGUCUUCUUCACCCACAAGGGGAGAAGGAUGCAACUCCGAGCCGGUUGACUUGUAGAAGGAAGCCCAGCGAUGGAGCUCCUAGAUAACUACUUAAACAUUUCUGCAGGGAUUGGAUGCUUCACUAUUGGGAAUACCCAAAGGAUAAGGAGAAAGUUUGAUGAUUAGGAGAGAACAUUAAUAUGAUCACAAUGAAUAUGAUACACAAUACCAGAAUGUACUGGGAAAGCCCUGAGAUGCCAAGAUUCCCCUCCACAGCUUCUGCAGGUAAUCCCUUGGGCAGCUCAUUAUGCACUUGCAUGAAACAGAAAAGGAAUGAAAAGAAAAGGAACUUAAAGUGCUGUCUCUCUGUCCACCAGAAGAGGAGCAGAUACAAUUUUCAACAUGGGAGGAAUAAAACGUCACAUUAAGAACUUAAUAAAAACUGCAGAUCUCCUUGAAUACAAUUUAAUUCCUGAUGGUCUUAUGGUUACAUUCAUGCUGUUUGUA